rnacentral:rRNA from 1 species
GGCUCGGGGAGGUAGUGACGAAAAUAACAAUACGGGACUCUUUCGAGGCCCCGUAAUUGGAAUGAGUACAGCUUAAAUCCUUUAACCAGGAUCUAUUGGAGGGCAAGUCUGGUGCCAGCAGCCGCGGUAAUUCCAGCUCCAUAGCGUAUAUUAAAGUUGUUGCAGUUAAAAAGCUCGUAGUUGGAUCCCGGGUCCAGGCUCGCGGUCUCGCCUCGCGGCGUUCACUGCCCGUCCUGACCUACCAGCCGGCUUCGAUCCUGGUGCUCUUCACCGAGUGUCCACGGAACGGCCGGUACGUUUACUUUGAAGAAAUUAGAGUGUUCAAAGCGGACGUAACUCGUUCGAAUCGAUGUGCAUGGAAUAAUGGAAUAGGACCUCGGUUCUAUUUCGUUGGUUUUAGGAGCGCGAGGUAAUGAUCAAAGGGACGACCGGGGCCAUUCGUAUUACAGCGUUAGAGGUGAAAUUCUUGGAUCGCCGUAAGACGAACUGCAGCGAAAGCGUUUGGCAAGUGCGUCCCCUUUAAUCAAGAGCGAAAGUCGGAGGUUCGAAGACGAUCAGAUACCGUCCUAGUUCCGACCAUAAAUGAUGCCGACUGGACGCCCUAAGGUGUUGAUUUCCGUGACCCUUAGGGAAUCCUGCCUGGGAAACCAAAGUCUUUGGGUUCCGGGGGAAGUAUGGUUGCAAAGCUGAAACUUAAAGGAAUUGACGGAAGGGCACCACCAGGAGUGGAGCCUGCGGCUUAAUUUGACUCAACACGGGAAAACUCACCCGGCCCGGACACCGUGAGGAUUGACAGAUUGAGAGCUCUUUCUUGAUUCGGUGGGUGGUGGUGCAUGGCCGUUCUUAGUUGGUGGAGUGAUUUGUCUGGUUAAUUCCGAUAACGAACGAGACUCUCUCCUGCUAAAUAGUCCGCCGGUUCCCCUUACGUCGGCGCUGACUUCUUAGAGGGACAAGUGGCCUCUAGCCACGCGAGAAUGAGCAAUAACAGGUCUGUGAUGCCCUUAGAUGUCCGGGGCCGCACGCGCGCUACACUGAAGGAAUCAACAGGCGUCCGUCCUGCUCCGAGAGGAGUGGGCAACCCUCUGAACCUCCUUCGUGCUAGGGAUUGGGGCUUGUAAUUCUUCCCCAUGAACGAGGAAUUCCCAGUAAGCGCGAGUCAUAAGCUCGCGUUGAUUACGUCCCUGCCCUUUGUACACACCGCCCGUCGCUACUACCGAUUGGAUGGUUUAGUGAGAUCCUCGGACUGACCCCGGCCGUAUCCGUCGGCUCACGCCGUCGGGCUAGGCCGGCUCGAGUCGG